rnacentral:rRNA from 1 species
GACGUUACCUACAGAAGAAGCACCGGCUAACUCCGUGCCAGCAGCCGCGGUAAUACGGAGGGUGCGAGCGUUAAUCGGAAUUACUGGGCGUAAAGCGCAUGCAGGCGGCCUGUUAAGUCAGAUGUGAAAGACCCGGGGCGUUAACCUCGGAAUUGCAUUUGAAACUAGGCAGGCUAGAGUCUUGUAGAGGGGGGUAGGAAGUUUCAGGUGUAGCGGUGAAAUGCGUAGAGAUCUGAAGGAAUACCAGUGGCGAAGGCGGCCCCCUGGACAAAGACUGACGCUCAGAUGCGAAAGCGUGGGGAGCAAACAGGAUUAGAUACCCUGGUAG